AUGUGGGGGCUAGGGUUUAGGUGGCUGCUGCUGCUGCUGGCGUUCGCGGCGGCGGUGGAGCUGGAGGCGCGGUUUGUGGUGGAGAAGAACAGCCUGAUGGUCACGUCGCCGACGGCUCUGCGGGGACGGCACGAUAGCGCCAUAGGCAACUUCGGCAUCCCGCAGUACGGCGGGAGCAUGGCUGGUGCCGUCGUCUAUCCCAAGGGCAACUCAGACGCCUGCGAGGCCUUCAACAGCGGCAGGAAGGAGCACCUCUUCCGCACCAAGCCUGGAGCGCUCCCCAGCUUCCUUCUCAUAGACCGCGGGAAUUGCCUGUUUGCUAAGAAGGUCUGGAAUGCACAAUAUGCUGGUGCCUCAGCAGUGCUUGUAGUUGAUGACAAGGAUGAGCCACUGAUAACAAUGGACUUACUUCAGGAAGAUGAUGAGGCUGCAAAAUAUAUACAGAACAUAUCCAUUCCUUCUGCUUUAAUUGAUAAGAAAUUUGGAGAACAAUUGAAGAAGGCUGUUAAAGAUGGUGAAAUGGUAAAUGUGGAUCUUGAUUGGAGGGAGGCUGUCCCACAUCCUGAUAACCGAGUUGAGUAUGAGUUGUGGACAAAUAGCAAUGAUGAAUGUGGGCCUAAAUGUGAUAUGCUUAUGCAUUUUCUGAAGGAAUUUAAGGGAGCUGCGCAGUUACUUGAAAAAGGUGGUUAUAGUCAGUUCACACCCCAUUAUAUUACUUGGUAUUGCCCUCAAGCAUUUGUUGUCAGCAAACAAUGCAAGUCCCAGUGUAUAAACCAUGGAAGGUAUUGUGCACCUGAUCCAGAACAAGAUUUUAGUACUGGGUAUGAUGGAAAAGAUGUUGUUGUAGAGAACUUGAGACAGCUUUGUGUGUUUAAUGUUGCAAAUGAGAUAAAAAAACCAUGGAUCUGGUGGGAUUAUGUGACUGAUUUUCACAUAAGGUGCCCAAUGAAGGAGAAGAAGUAUAACAAAAAGUGCGCAGAGACAGUCGUUAAAUCACUAGGUUUGGAAAUGCAGAAGAUUGACAAGUGCAUGGGAGAUCCAAAUGAUGAUUCUGACCACCCUUUACUUAAAAUGGAGCAGGACUCUCAGAUUGGGAAAGGGUCAAGAGGAGAUGUUACCAUAUUGCCUACUCUUGUUGUGAACAAUCGACAAUAUCGAGGAAAGCUAGGAAGGAAAGCUGUCCUCAAAGCUAUUUGUGCUGGCUUUGAGGAAACUACUGAGCCAAAUGUUUGUCUGAGUGAUGACAUAGAAACAAACGAGUGUCUGAGCGAUAAUGGAGGUUGCUGGCAAGACAAAGCUGCUAAUGUAACAGCUUGUAGGGACACUUUUCGUGGCAGAGUGUGUGAAUGCCCCACAUUCAAUGGCGUGCAAUUUAAAGGAGAUGGCUACAGCAACUGUGAACCCGCUGGUCCCGGAAAAUGCUUGAUAAACCAUGGUGGGUGCUGGCAUGAAACUCGCAACGGAAAAACAUUCUCUGCUUGUCAGGAAUCAGGAGAUCAAAAGUGCAAGUGUCCAGCUGGUUUCCGAGGGGACGGUGUUAAAAAAUGUCAUGAUAUUGACGAGUGCAAGGAGAGAAAAGCUUGCCAGUGUCCUGAAUGCAGCUGCAGAGAUACAUGGGGUGGCUAUGAUUGUACUUGUAGUGGCGACCUUUUGUACAUCAAGGAGCACGACACUUGCAUAAGUAAGACAACAGUUCAGGCUAAAGCAGCAUGGGCUGCUGUGUGGGGGAUCUUGGUAGCCUUGGUUAUUGUGGCGGCAGGAAGCUAUGUGGUAUACAAAUACAGAUUAAGGGCAUACAUGGACUCUGAGAUUAGAGCUAUCAUGGCACAGUACAUGCCACUGGACAAUCAAGGAGAGGUCCCAUAUGAUUCACACGAAGAUCAUCCACUUGCUCACUAA
rnacentral:rRNA from 1 species